AUUGGGAAACAAAUAUCAGGUUACCAUGCACGCAACCAUUAGAGAUAUUACAAACAAAAAUUUCUGUGGCCAUACUUUGUUCUAUUUUUGACUGAGUGUGGCCAUACUUUUCCAAAUGAAUAUUUAUAGCUAUUUUCUAUACACCCGUUCUAAAUUAAUGUGAUGCUUCGUUCACCAGUUACCUUCACUCGGUCAAAAUAUGGAGCUCAGCGCCACACUCAAGA
rnacentral:lncRNA from 1 species